UAGGGAGACCAUCUGAUAGUCGACCGAACCUAAACAAUAGGUCAAUAUCAGUCAUCCCUGGUCGUUCGAGGCAUAGAUGUCAAAGCUUUCAAACUAUUAACUGGUUCGGAACAUGGGCUAUUAGCUCAGUUGGUUAGAGCGCACCCCUGAUAAGGGUGAGGUCCCUGGUUCAAAUCCAGGAUGGCCCACCUGGAAAAAAAGCGAUGAAUUGUAAGUAAUGAGUAAUGGAUAAUCAAUGAUUAAUUCAGGACUCAUACAAUCAAAAUCAGAACUUGCUUAGUGGGGGUAUAGCUCAGUUGGUAGAGCGCCUGCCUUGCACGCAGGAAGUCAGCGGUUCGAGUCCGCUUACCUCCACUCUCACUAGCGUCGCUAACUAUAACCAACCACAAAACAAAGAGAAAUCAGCACCCAGACUAGCUUGGUCAAAAAAGAAGUCGGAAUGCUGGAGUCUAGAACUCUAGUCAGAACCUUGAAAACUGCAUAGAAAUUAAGUCAUCAAAGCUUGUAAGUCAUCCGAGCAAUCGGAGCAUCUGACAAGCGACCACCAUCAAAAAAUCAAG
rnacentral:tRNA from 1 species